AUGGAGACAGGUAUUUUCCCUACAGCAAUCUUACAUAUUCUCAAUGAUUGGCAAAAUGCUGUUUCUAUCUAUCUAAAGGAUUCCUGGCUUUGCCAUGGUACCACCCUGGAGAACUUAAUCUUGGAGGCAUUAUUCACAUUUACCAAAGGGUCUACAUCAUCAGAUCAGAGAAAAAAGAGAUCCAGAGGGAUUUUCCCUCUCACAGUUCUUGGUUUCUCCAGAAAUUUUGGCACCCGAACACCUGAAUUUUGAAGACUUCACUUCUUAGUCCUUGCAGUGUUGUUUUAGAAAAGAGAUGAGGAAAUGCAGGUAUGGACACACAUCCAUAUCUGAUGCAAACAUAUACAGAAGAGGAAUUCCCACAAAAUAAAUAAAUUAAGAAAUUUAACA
rnacentral:lncRNA from 1 species